GGCAUUUGUCAACCCGAUUGGCAAGAAAAUUUCCAAGAGAGAAAAGAUAAUGUUAAAUGUGAAUUCUGGUUUUGGAAACGAAAUUUUGUGCAAGAGUACUAACCAUGCUCUAAAGGAGCUAAGGCGUGAGGUUGGUAAAAUGGGUUUCUUAUAUGAAGCAGAAGUACCAACUUGGUCAAGUGCUGACUUUAAUUUUUCAUAUUCUGUCCCCUCGAAGGACUUAUUUGGUGGUGUGUUCUUGCAGUCCCCACUUCUGCGAGAUUUUGAUGAUAGGCAGAUGUUCUGUUUCUAUCUUUUCCCCGG
rnacentral:misc_RNA from 1 species